AUUGAACGCUGGCGGCAUGCCUUACACAUGCAAGUCGAACGGUAACAGGUCUUCGGAUGCCGACGAGUGGCGAACGGGUGAGUAAUAUAUCGGAACGUGCCCAGUCGUGGGGGAUAACGUAGCGAAAGCUACGCUAAUACCGCAUACGAUCUACGGAUGAAAGCGGGGGAUCGCAAGACCUCGCGCGAUUGGAGCGGCCGAUAUCAGAUUAGGUUGUUGGUGAGGUAAAAGCUCACCAAGCCUGCGAUCUGUAGCUGGUCUGAGAGGACGACCAGCCACACUGGAACGGAGACACGGUCCAGACUCCUACGGGAGGCAGCAGUGGGGAAUUUUGGACAAUGGACGCAAGUCUGAUCCAGCAAUGCCGCGUGCAGGACGAAGGCCUUCGGGUUGUAAACUGCUUUUGUACGGAACGAAACGGUGAGCUCUAAUAUAGUUUGCUAAUGACGGUACCGUAAGAAUAAGCACCGGCUAACUACGUGCCAGCAGCCGCCGUAA
rnacentral:rRNA from 1 species